UAAGCGGUUUUUAUACGCCCGUCUAUGACGGGACGUAUUAUGGUAUACCCCGCGUCCGUCCGUCCGUCCGUCCGUCUGUUAAUGUCGUACGCUACGUCAAAUAUCCUUUGACAGAUUUUCUUCAAAUUUUAACACAAUCUUAAUAUUGAUAAACCCUGAUCCCCUUUCGUUUUUGACGGAAUUCUGAAUUGUCGUUCCAGAGUUAUGGGACUUUGUUCGUCAAAAUUUCGUGAUUUCAUUGAAUGUCCUACUGUAGCUAUAUAAAAAUGUUAAAGUUGUUAUAACUUUGGUAUGCUUGGACCUAGAGUCUUGAAACUUGACAUGAAGGUUGGCCAGAACUAGUAAGUAACCACUGGACAUUUCAAGGUCAUUCAUUUGAAGGUCAAGGUCACUGUGACCUUGAAUGUAAAAAUGUUAAAGUUCUUAUUUCAUGUUAUAACUUUGGUAUGCUUGUACCUAGAGUCUUCAAACUUGAAAUAAAGAUUGGCCAGUACUAGAAGAUGACCACUGGUCAUUUCAAUGUCAUUCAUUUGAAGGUCAAGGUCACUGUGACCUUAAAUGUUAAAAUGUUAAAAUUGUUAUAACUUUGGUAUGCUUGGACAUAGAGUCUUCAAACUUGACAUGAAGGUUUGCAAGCACACUUAGAUGACCACUGGUCAUUUCAAGGUCAUUCAUUCUAAGGUCAAGGUCACUGUGACCUUAAAUGUUAUUGUUGUUCAUGUAUCCUACCGUAGCUCAAAUAUCCCCCGAUGGAUUUUUUAUACGCCCGUCUAUGACGGGACGUAUUAUGGUAUACCCCGCGUCCGUCUGUCCGUCCGUCCGUCCGUCCGUCCGUCUGUUAAUGUCGUACGCUACGUCAAAUAUCCUUUGACAGAUUUUCUUCAAAUUUUAACACAAUCUUAAUAUUGAUAAACCCUGAUCCCCUUUCGUUUUUGACGGAAUUCUGAAUUGUCGUUCCAGAGUUAUGGGACUUUGUUCGUCAAAAUUUCGUGAUUUCAUUGAAUGUCCUACUGUAGCUCAAAUAUCCUUCGAUGGAUUUUUUUCAAAUUUCAACACAAUCUUAAUAUUGAUAAACCCUGAUCCCCUUUCGUUUUUGACGGAAUUCUGAAUUGUCGUUCCAGAGUUAUGGGACUUUGUUCGUCAAAAUUUCGUGAUUUCCAUGCUCAUGUACUUAUAAAAUAAACCAUGUAUUCAAAUACAAAUAAACUGAAGUAAAAAAAUGA